rnacentral:lncRNA from 1 species
AGUAAUCCUCUUUCUUCAGUAAUCAGCUCCUGUGAAAGACAGUUUGUCUGCAUUUGGAAUUGUAAAAUAUCAAGCCUCUCUCUUGUCUGGAUUAUCUGCGGCUUAUAUUUGGCUAAGUAGUCAUUUAACCCCUUUAGUUGCUACUUAACUGCCUUCAAUUUGCUCCAAAUUUGCUGCAUAUGAGUGCCAGAAUAGACCUUCUCCCAGACUUUUUUCACAAUUUCAUGAAACUGCUCAUGUUCCAUUACAUUGCUAUAAAGUCUGAAAGGUUUAGGGUGGAUUGGCCUAUAUACACCAAAUUUAACUAGAAUAGGGGAGUGAUCUGAGAUAAAUGGAUUCAUGUAGUCAGCCUCCAAGUGCCCAAACUGCUGCAACCAUUGGAGAUUUCCAAAUGCCCAGUCUAUCUUGCUAUAAACUCUAGAGUCAGCAUCUUGC